rnacentral:ncRNA from 1 species
CACAGGUUUGGUCCUAGCCUUUCCAUUGGCUCUAAACAGAAUUACACAUGCAAGCAUCCACAUCCUCGUGAAAAUGCCCCAAGGGUCUGCAAGACACAAAGGAGCGGGCAUCAAGCACGCCAAUAGGGCAGCUUAUGACGCCUUGCCUAGCCACACCCCCACGGGAAACAGCAGUGAUAAAAAUUAAGCCAUGAACGAAAGUUUGACUAAGUCAUGUUGAACAGGGUUGGUAAAUUUCGUGCCAGCCACCGCGGCCAUACGAUUGACCCGAGUUAAUGGACACACGGCGUAAAGCGUGUUAAAAGAGAAUAAAUAAAAUAAGGUUAAAAUUUGAUUAAGAUGUAAAAAGCCACAGUCAAAUCAAAAAUAAACGACGAAAGUGAUCUUAACACAUACCGACACACGAUAGCUAAGACCCAAACUGGGAUUAGAUACCCCACUAUGCUUAGCCCUAAACAUAAAUAGCUAAUUAAACAAAACUAUUCGCCAGAGAACUACUAGCCACAGCUUAAAACUCAAAGGACUUGGCGGUGCUUUAUACCCCCCUAGAGGAGCCUGUUCUGUGAUCGAUAAACCCCGAUAAACCUCACCAACCCUUGCUAAUUCAGCCUAUAUACCGCCAUCUUCAGCAAACCCUAAAAAAGGAACAAAAGUAAGCUUAACCAUUAUGCAUAAAAACGUUAGGUCAAGGUGUAGCCAAUGGGGUGGGAAGAAAUGGGCUACAUUUUCUACUCACAAAGAAUAUACGAAAGUUCUCAUGAAACUGACGACCAAAGGAGGAUUUAGUAGUAAGCUAGGAAUAGAGUGCUUAGCUGAACUAGGCUAUGAAGCACGCACACACCGCCCGUCACCCUCCUCAAGUACACCCAAUACCACCUAAACCUACUAACCGGUAUUAGCAGCAUGAGAGGAGACAAGUCGUAACAAGGUAAGUAUACUGGAAAGUGUACUUGGAUAAAC